rnacentral:rRNA from 1 species
UGGGGAAUUUUGGACAAUGGGCGAAAGCCUGAUCCAGCAAUGCCGCGUGUGUGAAGAAGGCCUUCGGGUUGUAAAGCACUUUUGUCCGGAAAGAAAUCCUUGGCUCUAAUACAGUCGGGGGAUGACGGUACCGGAAGAAUAAGCACCGGCUAACUACGUGCCAGCAGCCGCGGUAAUACGUAGGGUGCAAGCGUUAAUCGGAAUUACUGGGCGUAAAGCGUGCGCAGGCGGUUUGCUAAGACCGAUGUGAAAUCCCCGGGCUCAACCUGGGAACUGCAUUGGUGACUGGCAGGCUAGAGUAUUGCAGAGGGGGGUAGAAUUCCACGUGUAGCAGUGAAAUGCGUAGAGAUGUGGAGGAGUACCGAUGGCGAAGGCAGCCCCCUGGGCCAAUACUGACGCUCAUGCACGAAAGCGUGGGGAGCAAACAGGAUUAGAUACCCUGGUAGUCCACGCCCUAAAACGAUGUCAACUAGUUGUUGGGGAUUCAUUUCCUUAGUAACGUAGCUAACGCGUGAAGUUGACCGCCUGGGGAGUACGGUCGCAAGAUUAAAACUCAAAGGAAUUGACGG